rnacentral:tRNA from 2 species
GAAACUAUAGUCAAUAUAUAAUGAUAUAUAAUUUGCACUUAUAAGGAGUUUUAACACUAGUUUCG